AGUCUCUCUGCCCUUAUAGCAGCCUGUCCACUGUCCUCACAGCAGGGGAGAGCUGAUCAAUGCUCCUUCAUGCUGUGCUCAUUGCCCUGUCCUUAGGGUGGUCUGAGAAUCCCAUCCCCCCCCCCCUUUUUCCAGAGACAGAACAUAGUCUAGACUCACCGGGCAGGAGGAAGUCAGAAAACCCUGUUCUUUAUUUUUUUAAAUUAAGUUUACUGGUACAUUUUAGGUAUACAAUACAGUUACAUUCAUCAUUGGGAUCUUGUACCUUUACAUGAUGUAUCUUGGUUCUUAUUCUUUUCCGAUUCCUCUGCCCUCCCUUCACCCCCUCAAAUCUUCCCUAUUUACAAAGACUUUGUUUCCAUAUUUUUCCUUCUCUAGUAGUUCUGAUCCUUGCUUCACUGAUGGUUUUUCUAGGGCAUGGGGGCAUGGAAACAUCACUUGGUUGCAUGAGCUGCUCAUUCUGUUUUGCAGAAACAGUAAUAUAUUUGGUUUCCCACUUACCUGCCAGAGUGGGUUAGAAUGAAUGAGACUAGAUCUGUCUGGAGAAAGAGGUUAUUUGGACAUCCAGUCUGGUUUCCUCAAAUAGGGCAGCAGAAAGUUGCCAGGGCUCCCCCAAAGGCCAGGCGAGCCCAGGAGACUGGAGCAUUACGCUUUACUCAGACAGUGGAGACCACGCCUGUCUCCCCAAACAGCCCUGUGUGUGUCUGCCUUGAUGAUGCAUUUGUGCCGGUCGGGGAGUUGGACCUGCAGCAGAAGCAAAUGGUUGCCAGUCACCACUUUCCAUACAGAGCAUCAGCCAUGCAGGCUUCUGACUCACACUACACUCACCUGCACUCCGAGACUCGGGCACAGGGAGCUCCGGCUUCCCAGUGUGCUUCCCUUAGUAAUUACAGAGGCCCCCAACACUGCAGCUCACACAGAGCCUGGCCUUUGUGGCUGGAGUCGGACCCCAACACUCUGCUCCCCAAUCGCAUGCCCAGGGUGUGCACUGCCUUCUCUCAUUCUCCUCCCACUGAGGCACUUCCCAGCUGAGUUCUGCCUUGCCAUGCCCCACAUCUCCCACAAGGGGGAGCCCCCGGAGGGCAACUGGGGCUGAGGAAUUUUGGAAGCGCUGAAGUUUUCGACUCCUGUCCUGCAACUGGUUUUCACUCACCCAACGGUGAGAUUUCUUUGUUGCAGUGUUGGAGUCUGAGAUAACACUGCCGGAAGCUGCAGGCGAGAACCUUAGCUCAUUCUAUCUUUUAUUGUGUGUUGUUGUUUACCAGCAUUCUAAACUAAGAAGGAAAAGUAAUAAAGACAUGCAGGACUCACAGGCCCUGGAUGAAGACUGCCAGCCUCAGACAGAACCAGCACGUCUGAGGGACAACCAGGAGGUGCCUUUGGCUGUGGAGCUCAGGAUAUGAAUCAGAGAGAAAGAACUGAAGACUUGUCCCAGGAAGAAAGGGGAGGACUGGCAGUAGAUUUUUCACUGGUUUGUCUUUGGAAAAGACUGAGAAGAACUGACACCAGUGAAUUAUUUGAAGAUAUGGGUCUACAAGAUGGAUGCAGAUUUAAAAAAUAAGAUUCCUAAGAAGUUACCUUUUUCAGCUCCCACUCUGUUCUCCAGGAGACACAGGGGCAGGAAGAACAUAGCAUGCUCAUUAACGCUGAUGACCCUGACCUGACUGGAACCCAAGAUGGCGUGUUGGCCAGCAGCGUGGAAUCAGUGGAUUCUUCAAUGGAGACAGGUCGAAUUGUGUCACAUCCAGGAAGUCACUUCUGUGAAUGAUAAUUCUAUAGUGUUUCACUGCUUGUGCACUUUCCUCAUGUUCAUGUUCUCAGAGAUAUGAAAUGGCACAAGGUAAAUUAGCACAGAAGAUUUGGGGCCGGGGCAUGACAAAUUAAAAGCAUGACUGAAAGUAGCUUAUGAUAUUGAUGGAAUUCUCUGUGGACUGGGGAUGAUGUGACUAGAGAAAGAAGAAAGCUGCUGAAGUUUUCCAAGAGGUGAAGAGAAAAAGAAAUUACAUGAAGACAAUAGUGAAAGCAGAGAAGGGACAGAUAGAAGAUAUGCUGCACAGAAGAGCAAUAGGAUUCUAUAACUAAAAAUGGAUUUGGGGAGGGAGGAGCAGAAGGGCUGAAGCAAAGAUAACACAUACAAUUUAAAUCUGGAACUAUGAUGCAUAGUGGAUGUAAACUAGAAGAUUGGUAAAUGGAUCUGGUUUAGGUGUGGUUAGGUUUAUUGUUUUUGUAUUUAGCAUAAUGGUGUUGAGUGACUCCUAGUUGAGAGCGUAAGACUUGCCAUUACUAGCAUAAAAAGAAGGGUUUUCUAAGGAGUGAGAUUUUCAGGUAGAAACUUACAGGGCUUCCUUUGUGUCACAGUAGGACUGUAGGAUCCCAGCAGCUGUCAGAACCCUUUGGUUUUUUAGCACAUAAGUGCUUACUGUAAAAGUGAUCCUUUCCAAUGGAACUAAGGGUCACUUAGCUCUGCAGAUCCACUUCAGAUGUUGCAAAUGGUAAAUAUGGUUAGGAAAAUCUUGGAAAUGGAAGUUGGCUAAGAUAAAAUAUGCCCAAGUCAUAGAAUGAGUCAUAGGAAUAAAAUCUUGAAUAUCCUAUUUAGCCAUCAGCAAAUAUCCUGACAAAGCUAUCUACCUACUUUUAAAUAGAACAGCCUUUUUAUGCUUUUCUUUCAAUAGAUACUCAAUUUAUGGUCCUACUGCCUCCCUACACACACACACACACACACACACACACAGAAAAAUGAGUUCAAAAAGAGAAUGAAAAAUAUAUUAACUUGAAACCUGAUUAAUCAGCUUUAGGAGAAGAUCCUAUUAUCAUUAAGCUCUUGAUCAUCAUCAUACUCACACAUUCAUUGAAUGCCUGAUUGUGGUUAUACAAAGAACAUACACACACACACACACACGCACACACAAAUAAAUACAGAGCAGAAGUCACAUGGGCCUGUCCUCUCUGGGUUUAUGGACCCUAUGUAUAAGAGAGAAAACACAGGUAAAUGGCCAUAUAAAAGUGUUUACAUGAGUCCCUCUGCAAUUACAUUUGCAAGGCCGCAGCUAUCCUAUUUUAUCAAGGAAUGUAAUCUCCUGUUGUCUGAGUCACUUCUCUGGUCGGGGAGACAUACUACCCAACACUCACAAUUUGAAGGUGAGAGGUUUAUUUUGGCUCAUAAUUCAGUCCAUAGCUGGCUGACUCCAAAGCAAGACGGCAUGGCACAGGCGCAUGGUAGAUGUCUGAGCAGUGGGGAAGCAGAGAGGGAGUGAAGAGAGGAGCUGGGAUGGGAGGUAUAUCUUUCCAGGUCAAACCCCCAUUAACCCAUCUCUUCUGAUCAGAUCCCACCUCCUAACAGCAAGUCAACUAUAAUGCUCUCAUGAUCCAAUCACCUUUCAAAACUCCAGCCUGUGAGCACAUGAAACUUUUAGGGAACAUCUAGAUAUAAACCAUAACAUCUAUAUAAGUAAAAUUUUAUAAGAAGCAAAGCUUACCUAUUAGGCAUUACAGAAGCUUCUGGCUUUUCAGUCAGUAUAAACAGUUUCUAGCACUUCACUCACUUAAUGGCUAAGGGGCAUCCUUAGGAACAUUCUGUGUUGAUGAAUUCUGUGCUCUCAGUUGCCUUUCUUUGCCUUUUAUCUUUCAGUCAUUUUGGUCUUCAACUGUGGCAGCUACUUUUCCAGGUCUUCACGUGCCAGCCCCUCAGCUGAUCUCCCACUUCACUGGUGAUAUAUUACUCCAGAACAUCUUCAUCCCUACAAAGAAAGUUAACCAGGAUUGUCAUACAAUUGAAAUGGGCCAAUAAUUCUGAGUGAGGCUCCAAGGAGAAAGGCAGCUGGGUGUUGUGGAGAGAUCGAGAUAGCUGCUUGGAACAUUCUAAAGUGUUCUCUAGUAUUAGAUUAGAUGCGGUAAUGCUAGAGUAUUUAGGUAUUCUAAAGUAUCUCCAGCUCAGCCUCCAGAAAGCUGAAGUUGAAGAAAUACUGGUCUCUGGAUGAGAGAGCCGCUGCUGUCUUCACACUGGAGAUUAUUAGCUCCCAAGUUACCUCCUAAUUUAGGGAUAGAAAACAAGAGUAUCAUUCUGGAAAGUGGAGAUAUGAUAGACAUUCCUGAAAUCAACCUGAUAAAAUAAAAAAAAUUACAUAAUGUAACAGUAUAAAAAAUAAAGAUAUCCUACUCCUGUCCUGCAUGCCUUCUCCAAAAUACACAUGUAUAUUGUUAAUUUCCCUGAAGGUCAUUUUCUUACAUCAGAGUAAAGUGGUUUUUCACUCCACCACACUGUGAUUCCUGUCAUUUUUCAGAGCUUCUGAGUUCUGUCCCCAGUGAGUAACAAAACAGAGCCCAGAAGAGCCAACCACUGAAGAGUAAGUCACAUGCACAGCCUUUGGUGGAGAUAGAAAAGGGAAAAGUCCCCUUGGAAGAUCACAAAUGUCUUCUAUUAUUGAAAGAUUAAGAAGCACCAUGAUCAGCUCUGAGCAUCAGGAUUUCUGAUAAGUUGCUUGACAGAUAUGUGUAAGUCCCUGUUAGUAUCCAGGUGGACUUCAUGUCAGGUUAUGUGUAGCUUUUAUUUUUCUUCAUUCAUAAUUUUGAGGUUCUUCUUUGUAGUCACAUAUAGCAUUGCUCUUCCUUCACCAUGAUACAUACUAUUUUAAAGAAAACAUUUUUAAGAUUUAAAAUUUAUGAAAGCUAUUGGCUGUUUUAAAAUGAUAUAUAAAAUGUUCAGUUGGAACCACCAUUUAGAUUAUCCAUAGUAAUGUCAGGGGUUGGAGAACACUGCUUACAUUAGAAUAGUGUUUGUAUUUCCAUUUUGUUUAUCUUUAGUAUAUCUUUGGAGAGUGACUGAGGGUACAGCAUUCCUAUAUUAAACAAAGUUAAACUAGAGCCCAGAGAGGAAUGGGAUAUACAUAGUAAUUGGCCAUGCUUUCUGGAGCAGGAAGGGUGGCAGUUCAAUUAAGGAGGAAGAGUUUGGUCCAGCAGACUAAGGUCCAAGUAUGGAGCAGUAAUUUACAAAAAUAGAUGAAGUCUAAACAAAUAGAUAGGGUUGUAAAUUCUAAAACUGGGUAAUAAAUGUUAUAUAUUUACAGGGACUGCUUACUCUCUGCUUUAGUUUUAUGCUGUUCACAGGUACCUUUAGGGGCUCAGAAUUCUCAUAGAGACACAGAGGUUCCAAGAUGAAUUCUGUUCUCAGUGAGGCAAGAACAGAAAUACAAAGAUGGUCUCACCUCCAAGCCUACAGAGGUGGCAUGCUGAAACUGAGCUAAUAUUUCUA
ensembl:lncRNA